GUAAGGAAUAUUGGACAAUGGAGGCAACUCUGAUCCAGCCAUGCCGCGUGAAGGAUGAAGGCCCUACGGGUUGUAAACUUCUUUUCUCUUAGAAAAAACUACUGGUUUCGUACCGGUACUGAUUGUACAAGAGGAAUAAGCAUCGGCUAACUUCGUGCCAGCAGCCGCGGUAAUACGAAGGAUGCAAGCGUUAUCCGGAUUCACUGGGUUUAAAGGGUGUGCAGGUGGGGUAAUAAGUCAGUGGUGAAAGCCCCCGACUCAAUCGGGGAACUGCCAUAGAUACUGUUAUUCUUGAGUGUAGUUGAGGCGGAUGGAAUAUGACAUGUAGCGGUGAAAUGCUUAGAUAUGUCAUAGAACACCGAUCGCGAAGGCAGUCCGCCAAACUAUUACUGACACUGAAACACGAAAGUGCGGGGAUCAAACAGGAUUAGAUACCCCGGUAGUCC
rnacentral:rRNA from 1 species